UACAGGGGGGGCAAGCGUUGUUCGGAAUUACUGGGCGUAAAGGGCGCGUAGGCGGCCACCGCAAGUCGAUUGUGAAAUCUCCGGGCUUAACCCGGAAAGGUCAACCGAUACUGCGGGGCUAGAGUGCGGAAGGGGCAACUGGAAUUCUUGGUGUAGCGGUGAAAUGCGUAGAUAUCAAGAGGAACACCUGCGGCGAAGGCGGGUUGCUGGGCCGACACUGACGCUGAUGCGCGAAAGCUAGGGGAGCGAACGGG
rnacentral:rRNA from 1 species